CCUACGGGUGGCUGCAGUGGGGAAUAUUGCACAAUGGGCGCAAGCCUGAUGCAGCCAUGCCGCGUGUGUGAAGAAGGCCUUCGGGUUGUAAAGCACUUUCAGCGGGGAGGAAGGCGUUAAGGUUAAUAACCUUGUCGAUUGACGUUACCCGCAGAAGAAGCACCGGCUAACUCCGUGCCAGCAGCCGCGGUAAUACGGAGGGUGCAAGCGUUAAUCGGAAUUACUGGGCGUAAAGCGCACGCAGGCGGUCUGUCAAGUCGGAUGUGAAAUCCCCGGGCUCAACCUGGGAACUGCAUUCGAAACUGGCAGGCUAGAGUCUUGUAGAGGGGGGUAGAAUUCCAGGUGUAGGGGUGAAAUGCGUAGAGAUCUGGAGGAAUACCGGUGGCGAAGGCGGCCCCCUGGACAAAGACUGACGCUUAGGUGCGAAAGCGUGGGGAGCAAACAGGAUUAGAUACCCCUGUAGUC
rnacentral:rRNA from 1 species